rnacentral:rRNA from 1 species
UCGAACGAUGAAGCCCAGCUUGCUGGGUGGAUUAGUGGCGAACGGGUGAGUAACACGUGAGUAACCUGCCCUUAACUCUGGGAUAAGCCUGGGAAACUGGGUCUAAUACCGGAUAGGAGCGUCCACCGCAUGGUGGGUGUUGGAAAGAUUUAUCGGUUUUGGAUGGACUCGCGGCCUAUCAGCUUGUUGGUGAGGUAAUGGCUCACCAAGGCGACGACGGGUAGCCGGCCUGAGAGGGUGACCGGCCACACUGGGACUGAGACACGGCCCAGACUCCUACGGGAGGCAGCAGUGGGGAAUAUUGCACAAUGGGCGCAAGCCUGAUGCAGCGACGCCGCGUGAGGGAUGACGGCCUUCGGGUUGUAAACCUCUUUCAGUAGGGAAGAAGCGAAAGUGACGGUACCUGCAGAAGAAGCACCGGCUAACUACGUGCCAGCAGCCGCGGUAAUACGUAGGGUGCGAGCGUUAUCCGGAAUUAUUGGGCGUAAAGAGCUCGUAGGCGGUUUGUCGCGUCUGUCGUGAAAGUCCGGGGCUUAACCCCGGAUCUGCGGUGGGUACGGGCAGACUAGAGUGCAGUAGGGGAGACUGGAAUUCCUGGUGUAGCGGUGGAAUGCGCAGAUAUCAGGAGGAACACCGAUGGCGAAGGCAGGUCUCUGGGCUGUAACUGACGCUGAGGAGCGAAAGCAUGGGGAGCGAACAGGAUUAGAUACCCUGGUAGUCCAUGCCGUAAACGUUGGGCACUAGGUGUGGGGACCAUUCCACGGUUUCCGCGCCGCAGCUAACGCAUUAAGUGCCCCGCCUGGGGAGUACGGCCG